rnacentral:rRNA from 1 species
UACAGAGGGUGCGAGCGUUAAUCGGAAUUACUGGGCGUAAAGCGCACGUAGGCGGCUUGGUAUGUCGGGUGUGAAAUCCCCGGGCUCAACCUGGGAACUGCCUCCGAAACUGCCUUGCUAGAGUAUGGGAGAGGGAAGUGGAAUUUCCGGUGUAGCAGUGAAAUGCGUAGAGAUCGGAAGGAACACCAGUGGCGAAGGCGACUUCCUGGACCAAUACUGACGAUCAGGUGCGAAAGAGUGGGGAGCAAACAGG